UACGUCGCUGGUAUUAUUGGAACUUCUGAUCCAGUUUCCUCUCAAAAAACUCUCAUGCUAAAAAAAUUCCAGAAAAAAGACCGAGGCUCAAAAAAUUGUUCUCAAAAUCAAGAUAUUCAAUUUUUCGCUCUUUCCCUUGAGGCGUCGAUCUAGGGUUCCUACAUCUUCACAUAAAAAUUCAUUUGUUGCUGAUGUUUAUUCGAUUAAACAGAUGCACACAACUCUUUUCUGUAAAGGCAUGAGGGAAUUGGAAGCGGCCUGCGAAUACUCGAAAGCAAAAAACUGACGGCUUCUAAUAUGUUUUCUCUGAAUUAAGAAAAAAUCUACAUUUUUUACCCAGGUUGUUGAGUCAUGAAGAUGCACCAUUGAAGCUAUGUUUGGCCGAAGAUUCAUCAAUUACUUAGAAUUGACAGCCGGCGAAGAUGCAUGCAACUCUUUUUUGUUAAGGCAUGAAGUUGAUCACCAAAUUGGAAGCGGAUGAAGAAAAUGACAUUUUAUUAUUAGAUUUAUAGUUCUAAAUGAGAACUUCUUUCCACCUUAUUUGGUUUUAAUAGUUAGUCAUGUAUUUGUUUUGAAGCUAAGAGAUGUAGUUCAACAGUGAUAUUUGACUAUUGAUUAUGUAACGACUUUUUUUAUUUUAUUUUAUUAAGAUGUUAUUAAUAGGAGCUAAAAA